rnacentral:rRNA from 1 species
AUCCUACGGGAGGCAGCAGUGGGGAAUAUUGCGCAAUGGGGGCAACCCUGACGCAGCAACGCCGCGUGAUUGAAGAAGGCCUUCGGGUUGUAAAGAUCUUUAAUCGGGGACGAAUUUUGACGGUACCCGAAGAAUAAGCUCCGGCUAACUACGUGCCAGCAGCCGCGGUAAUACGUAGGGAGCAAGCGUUAUCCGGAUUUACUGGGUGUAAAGGGAGCGUAGACGGCGCGGCAAGUCUGAAGUGAAAGGCAGGGGCUUAACCCCUGAACUGCUUUGGAAACUGCCAUGCUAGAGUGCUGGAGAGG